rnacentral:rRNA from 1 species
UACGGGGGGAGCAAGCGUUGUUCGGAUUUACUGGGCGUAAAGGGCGCGUAGGCGGUCGUGACAAGUCACUUGUGAAAUCUCCGGGCUUAACGUCGGAACGGUCAAGUGAUACUGUCGGACUAGAGUACAGAAGGGGCAACUGGAAUUCUCGGUGUAGCGGUGAAAUGCGUAGAUAUCAGGAGGAACACCGGUGGCGAAGGCGGAUCUCUGGGCCCUUACCUG